rnacentral:rRNA from 1 species
AACGAACGCUGGCGGCGCGCCUAACACAUGCAAGUCGAACGAGAAGGCGUAGCAAUACGCUUGUAGAGUGGCGAACGGGUGAGUAAUACGUGGGUGACCUACCCUCGAGUGGGGAAUAACCCGCCGAAAGGCGGGCUAAUGCCGCGUACGCUUCCGUCCUCACGGGGACGGAAGGAAAGCUGUACCGUGGGUACGGCGCUCAAGGAUGGGCUCACGUCCUAUCAGCUUGUUGGUAGGGUAACGGCCACCAAGGCUACGACGGGUAGCUGGUCUGAGAGGACGAUCAGCCACACUGGCACUGCGACACGGGCCAGACUCCUACGGGAGGCAGCAGUGAGGAAUAUUGCGACAAUGGGACGAAAGCCUGACGCAGCGACGCCGCGG